GAGUACAACCAAACCUCCGCAAUGGACGGGACCACUCCCUUAUCUNAGAGCCACACCUCUAAGAAUUAAAACACUAACAUAAAAUGAUCCAUGAUCUGAUCAAUGAACCAAGUUACCCUGGGGAUAACAGCGCAAUCCAUUUCAAGAGCCCUUAUCGACAAGUGGGUUUACGACCUCGAUGUUGGAUCAGGGUAUCCUAGUGGUGCAGCAGCUACUAAUGGUUCGUUUGUUCAACGAUUAAAACCCU
rnacentral:rRNA from 1 species